CAGUUUUAUUGCUCCCUCAAAAUGGAAAUGUAACCCCAUCUUUUCACCACGGAGCAAGUCUUCAUUAUUUUACUUCUCACCAGCAGUGCAAUACAAUGGGCAAAUACCAUCCGGGAGCAGGAUGUGGCAAUCAUCAGAUCCUGUUCUGCCUUCGUCAUCCAUUUCAAGAACAACUGGCUGGCAGCCAAUCAGGAUUCACUCGGCUGAGACUGCAUUGUCAUCAAUCAGAGAUGUCCUGCAGAUUGCGAGAGCUGAUUCCAAAUGCAACUUCACUACACUGGUUUGAUUCGUACCUCAUCAGACAUAUACACAGCACAUCAACUAGUCACGGG